rnacentral:lncRNA from 1 species
CCCGGGCCCGACCCAAGCCCGAGCCCAAUGCCAGCCCGAACCAGAAUCGAAGAAGGCCCGAAAUAGAAUUGGGUAUUUGGCCAUUAGCUGGGUUACUUUGCGGUUGCCGGUUGGGGAUUUUUUCUGGAAUCGCGAUUUGCAGAGGCGACUGGUCGAGAGCCGCGAGACGCGAAGACGGUGGUCCGGUGGAGGCUCGUCGUCAUCGUCUAGGGUCCGAUGGAGGCAUGGAGGCUCGGCGGCGGCGGCUCGUCGAGUGCAGAGGUGAGACGAGAGCGGUGGAGGCUCGUCGUCGUCGGCUCGUCGAGUGCUAGGGUUUCUCCGCUCGUCGUCGUCGGCUCUCAGGUUAGCGGAUUUGGUGCUUUACCUUGUUCUUCUUUUCCCCCUUAACGAAGAAUCCGAGUCAUAAUAAAAGAAGGGAUUUUUCGACGUAGCCUCCCCUUUUCUCGCCCCUCACCGGCACCCAACCUCCCACCUCCUGCUCCGGCGUGCGCUCUUCUUUCCCGCCAACGCCUCAUACACCCCCGUUCUUUCCAGAUUUGGGUUUGAUUUGUUCUUUUUUGAGGAUUUGUGGCGUUCAAUUUACUGAUUUGGGAUUUGUUGAAAGGAAUAGAUCUUUGGUCAACAAUUUGAUUUAGGGUUUCCAGAGUUGGGAAUGAUUUGUUCUUACUUGAGGAUCUGUGCCUUUAGUUUACAGACUUGGGAUUUCUUGAAAAGAAACAAGUCUUCGGUCAAAAUUUUUAAUUAUAGGAUUCUUUGGUUGAUUAUAUGAUUGAGGUUUUUGGUUAACAAUUUGAUUUAGGGUUUUCAGAAUUAAGAACGAUUGGUUCUUGUUUAAGGAUCUGUGACCUUUAAUUUACUGAUUUGGGAUUUAUUGAAAGGGAUUUAGAGUGUCCCUUGGCUGCUAGUUUGAUCUAGAUUUUAGAAUUUUGAUUUAAUUUGUUCCAGUCAUACACCCCCUUUCUCCCCACCCCAACUCUCUCUCUCUAUCUUUCUCUCUUCUCUCUCUCUCCCUCUCACGAUCUCACCCGGCUCUGUUUGUUAGUGACAUACUAUUUUUUUUCACUUAUGCUUUUAGUUCAUGUCUUUCUUAGUUUGUUAUUUGGAGUGGAAUGCUAUGAUUUUUUUUAAAUGAAUAGAAUUUCUAAUUUGUGUUCGUGGAG